CGCGUGAGGAACCUGCCUCAAAGAGGGGGACAACAGUUGGAAACGGCUGCUAAUACCGCAUAAGCCCACGGCUCGGCAUCGAGCAGAGGGAAAAGGAGCAAUCCGCUUUGAGAUGGCCUCGCGUCCGAUUAGCUAGUUGGUGAGGUAACGGCCCACCAAGGCGACGAUCGGUAGCCGGACUGAGAGGUUGAACGGCCACAUUGGGACUGAGACACGGCCCAGACUCCUACGGGAGGCAGCAGUGGGGAAUAUUGCACAAUGGGGGAAACCCUGAUGCAGCGACGCCGCGUGGAGGAAGAAGGUCUUCGGAUUGUAAACUCCUGUUGUUGAGGAAGAUAAUGACGGUACUCAACAAGGAAGUGACGGCUAACUACGUGCCAGCAGCCGCGGUAAAACGUAGGUCACAAGCGUUGUCCGGAAUUACUGGGUGUAAAGGGAGCGCAGGCGGGCGAUCAAGUUGGAAGUGAAAUCCAUGGGCUCAACCCAUGAACUGCUUUCAAAACUGAUUGUCUUGAGUAGUGCAGAGGUAGGCGGAAUUCCCGGUGUAGCGGUGGAAUGCGUAGAUAUCGGGAGGAACA
rnacentral:rRNA from 1 species